GAUGAACGCUGGCGGCGGGCCGAAUACAUGUAAGUCGAGCGAACAGAUGAGGAGCUUGUUAUCUUGAGGUUAGAGGGGGAAGGGUGAGUAAGACGUGGAUAAGAUAAUUAUAAGAAUGGGAUAAUUUAGGGAAAACGGAGCUAAUACCGGAUAAUAUAUUGAACCGCAUGGUUCAAUAGUGAAAGACGGUUUUGCUGUCACUUAUAGAUGGAUCCGCGCCGCAUUAGCUAGUUGGUAAGGUAACGGCUUACCAAGGAAAGUAUGCGUAGCCGACCUGAGAGGGUGAUCGGCCACACUGGAACUGAGACACGGUCCAGACUCCUACGGGAGGCAGCAGUAGGGAAUCUUCCGCAAUGGGCGAAAACCUGACGGAGCAACGCCGCGUGAGUGAUGAAGGUCUUCGGAUCGUAAAACUCUGUUAUUAAGGAAGAACAAAUGUGUAAGUAACUAUGCACGUCUUGACGGUACCUAAUCAGAAAGCCCCGGCUCCCUACGUC
rnacentral:rRNA from 1 species